AAGGGAGACCUAAUUCAGGUAUGGGACGAAAAAAAAGUAGUCGCUACCAAGAAUCAAUCCCAAAAGGUCGGAGCGAGGUAUGAGGCUUUCAAACUAGGUUCUGGGUUCAAACAAGACCUGAAUCAGGAACAAGGGCUAUUAGCUCAGGUGGUUAGAGCGCACCCCUGAUAAGGGUGAGGUCCCUGGUUCGAGUCCAGGAUGGCCCACCUGCACAGGUGGCAAAAACAAGAGAAGCUCCGAAUCAGCACCUUAUCUUAUAUACAUAUAUAAGAGAGAAUGCUGGCUCUGAGUACAGAGUCCAGAGGAACCUUGAAAACUGCAUAGAGCUAGGUGAAAAAGCCAAAAAAGAAGACCGCAA
rnacentral:tRNA from 1 species